CUAAUGUUAAUCUGUCACUUGUGCAGUUGGAAUAUAUUUCGAUGUGACUGAAAGAAGAAUAUGUGAGUGGCAGCCAUUUUGAGCUCUUCCCAAUGUCUUUUUGUUACUCCCUCUCAAAAACUGAAACUUACCGGUGAGUAAAAUUCUUGAGUCUAAGUCUUUCUCAUGUCAAAACUAUAGACGUUGCUCUACCAUUGUAGACGAGGAGACCAAGGUCAGCAUGGUUUUUAUUCCUUUAUAAACAUUUACCUCCUUUUUAAACAAAUUUUUGGUUUGGAUAUAUAUGGAAAAACAUGUUUUUUAUUUGUUUAUAAUUUUAAAACUUGUCAGGAUGUUUCUGGAUUACUUUUACCUGGGUCCUGGUGAGCCCAUUUCAUCCCAACCAGCUUCCCCUCUUCCUAUCCCUUUUUGGAAAGUUUUCUUUAAUUGUAUCUUCAAUGAUUGCUUCUCUUUUGAUUGUUCUGGAUUUUUCUUCAGCAACAUAAUUCUUUGGCUGAAUCUCUAUUCCUACUCUUCCAUAGCUAGGAUUUUCUUUUUUAAAUUUCUGUAUGUUAUUGAAUCUAAGAUGGUAUUGGUUAUAAGAAGCACUAUUAUUUUAUGUACAAUUAGCGGAAGAAAAAAUGCUGCUAAUUAAGCCAUGACAUCAUGCUGUAAUUAUGAUCCUGUGAAAUCGGUAAGUUGAUCAUACCAGGCCCUUCCUUAUUUUCAAAUGUUCCAUCUUUUGGGGGAUUUGUUAGUUUCUCCUGCCUUCAGUCACAUUGUUUGGCAUGAGACAGGCAGUCCAUUUUGCAUGCAUCUCGGUGACAAAAUCUAGUUUGUACUUCAAGAGAACUUCUCUCUCUCUCCAGUCCCUAUAGAGUGCUUGGUCUUUCUUUAAAAACUAAAAAGCAAUUGCAGUCAUUGCUCCAAUAACUUACUUGCUUCAGUCAUAUCGGAUUACCCCCUGCUGGUCUAAUUCUAUGCUUUUCUGCAUACACAAUGACUUCUUGUUUCAAUGCCAAAUCAUAGUGUAAUCUUUUAAAAGACAUUUCAAAUGGUAAUUAAACUCACAUGUAAUCACAACAAUGUACAUAACUCAAUUCAAGUGUUUACAACAUAAACGGCUGAGACUAAAGUUUGCCCACGGCCGGGACUCAUGGUGGCCACUCCCUGGUCCAAAUGAUUGUAGGAUGCCACUGAUCGUUAAGACUUAGCCUGGUUUCCUAUUUGUUAACAUGUGGGGAGAAUGGAGGUCUUAGAAUCAGUGAAACAGGAUAGUUCAAUUCUGUGUUCCCUUCUCUGUAUUUUGAAAGCGUUUCUUGAGUUUGCCAUCCAUAAUAUUUAUUUGACUUUCCACCAUGUGAAUUCCACUGAUUCACUGCUUUAUAUAUGGCUUUUAAUGAUUAUUCAAUACUUUUAUUUUCUUGGAAAAAUCUUUUAAGUCAAAAGCAGCUUCCUUUCCAUCCGUUCUUGGCCUCUAUCAGUCAAAUUCUCCUUUAUAGGCAUAAGGUCCCGUGAUAUUUACCAGGCAUCUGGGUUCUAGUCACUAGAACGUGAACCCCAGUGAUGUGUGUGAUUUACAGGACUUUCCCAUAGAAUGUUGAGCGAGCUCUCCUCCAUGCUUUUCCCCUUCCAGAUAAGUGCCAGGAAAUGACGUGGACAACCUUGGAGGCCACAGGAUGAAGACAGCAGAACUUUCGUUAGCCUGGGUGCCCCGGGUGGAGAGCUGCUCUUAAAAACUGAGAACAUUUGCCUUGGGCUCUUUUGCCUGAUGAACUGAUGUGGGAUCUCCUCUUACUUCUGCCUGUGACACUGAGAACUGACAGAGUACACACACAUCUUACUCACCAGCGCAACUGCCUUCGUCCUGCCUGCAAAGACCGUCUGUGAGAUCAAUACCUUCCUCAACGUGACGUGCCGUUGCUGGUCCUCCUCUCCUUCCAGCUCCCCGCCUUCCCAGGACAUGUUCUACCCUCCUGGCGUAGCCUGCGGUUGAGUGCCCUGUUGUGACCGGAAGGGAGGGACUCCACGCUGGGAUUGAAGUAGCCCUCCCGACCCCAGCCCCCAGGACAAGCGCAUCCUGGACGAGGCUGACGGGUUUGUGAGACUGUACGGAGGUCAGACCUGGCUGCUCGUCGUCUCUUCCUUCGGAGUGCACCGGCUGCGGGGCGCCGUGGGGAGCUGGGGACCGCGGUGGGCAGGGCACCCAGGAAACACUCAGUGGGGCAAAUCCGGUGGGUGAUUUUCUCUUUCUGUGACUUCUAAGGACUUUGUGAGGAUGGGUUAGGAUUAAAUUAAAUGACAAAACCAAAAGAAA